AUAUCAAUAAGCGGAGGAAAAGAAACUAACAAGGAUUCCCCUAGUAACUGCGAGUGAAGCGGGAAAAGCUCAAAUUUAAAAUCUGGCGGUCUUUGGCCGUCCGAGUUGUAGUCUGGAGAAGCGUCUUCCGCGCUGGACCGUGUAUAAGUCUCUUGGAACAGAGCGUCAUAGAGGGUGAGAAUCCCGUCUUUGACACGGACUACCAGUGCUUUGUGAUGCGCUCUCAAAGAGUCGAGUUGUUUGGGAAUGCAGCUCAAAAUGGGUGGUGAAUUCCAUCUAAAGCUAAAUAUUGGCGAGAGACCGAUAGCGAACAAGUACCGUGAGGGAAAGAUGAAAAGCACUUUGGAAAGAGAGUUAAACAGUACGUGAAAUUGCUGAAAGGGAAACGCUUGAAGUCAGUCGCGUUGUCCGGGACUCAGCCUUGCUUCGGCUUGGUGCACUUUCCGGAUGACGGGCCAGCAUCGAUUUUGACCGCCGGAAAAGGGCUGGAGGAAUGUGGCACCUUCGGGUGUGUUAUAGCCUCCAGUCGCAUACGGCGGUUGGGAUCGAGGAACGCAGCACGCCUUAUGGCGGGGGGUUUACCCUACCUUCGUGCUUAGGAUGCUGGCAUAAUGGCUUUAAACGACCCGUCUUGAAACACGGACCAAGGAGUCUAACAUGCCUGCGAGUGUUUGGGUGGAAAACCCGAGCGCGUAAUGAAAGUGAAAGUUGAGACCUCUGUCGUGGAGGGCAUCGACGCCCGGACCUGACGUUCUCUGACGGAUCCGCGGUAGAGCAUGUAUGUUGGGACCCGAAAGAUGGUGAACUAUGCCUGAAUAGGGUGAAGCCAGAGGAAACUCUGGUGGAGGCUCGUAGCGAUUCUGACGUGCAAAUCGAUCGUCAAAUUUGGGUAUAGGGGCGAAAGACUAAUCGAACCAUCUAGUAGCUGGUUCCUGC
rnacentral:rRNA from 2 species